rnacentral:tRNA from 1 species
UCCGAAUUCGUAUAUCGGCUAGUAUGACCGCCUCUCAGGACAGUGCGCGGUAGAGACGGGUUCGAUUCCCGUAUUCGGAA